rnacentral:rRNA from 1 species
AACGAACGCUGGCGGCAUGCCUAACACAUGCAAGUCGAACGAGACCUUCGGGUCUAGUGGCGCACGGGUGCGUAACGCGUGGGAACCUGCCCUUAGGUUCGGAAUAACUCCCCGAAAGGGGUGCUAAUACCGGAUCAUGUCUUCGGACCAAAGAUUUAUCGCCUUUGGAUGGGCCCGCGUUGGAUUAGCUCGUUGGUAGGGUAAAAGCCUACCAAGGCGACGAUCCAUAGCUGGUCUGAGAGGAUGAUCAGCCACACUGGGACUGAGACACGGCCCAGACUCCUACGGGAGGCAGCAGUGGGGAAUAUUGGACAAUGGGCGAAAGCCUGAUCCAGCAAUGCCGCGUGAGUGAUGAAGGCCUUAGGGUUGUAAAGCUCUUUUACCCGGGAUGAUAAUGACAGUACCGGGAGAAUAAGCUCCGGCUAACUCCGUG